CUUCAUGGACUCCAUUCAAAUUUCAUGGCCUCUAGCCAUUUCUCAGAGUCACUGCAUUGCAUCCAUGUAGGUGAUCGGAUCCUCAUCGUUUUCAUCAAGUACGAUAGGAUUGCCAUCCUGGACCAAGAAAUCAUAGUAUCUGUCUGGUUGACGUGGUACUCUACUAGAUCGCCUUAAGGGUGCAGCAACAAUGGGCUCC
rnacentral:lncRNA from 1 species